AGAUCCUGAGAGAUGGAAACCAUUACCCUCAAUUGGUCAACAGAAAGGUGGGAAAUGGCUGUAUGAAGAGAUGAUCUCCAAGAACCUUUAAAGGACUAACAUGGCUUGACCGAGACUCGGAGGAACACUAGGUGAUGUGGGGAUUGGCUCCCAUGUGGCCAUACAACAAGAGCCAGAGUGUGGGAGUUACCUGCCUGCAGGGAGAACCUUGGACAGUGAGAAAUGGGAUGCAGGAGGGAGCUGAGCAAAUAAACUCACCCUC